rnacentral:rRNA from 1 species
UACGUAGGGUGCGAGCGUUGUCCGGAGUUAUUGGGCGUAAAGAGCUCGUAGGCGGUUUGUCGCGUCGACUGUGAAAACCUACAGCUUAACUGUGGGCUUGCAGUCGAUACGGGCAGACUUGAGUUCGGUAGGGGAGACUGGAAUUCCUGGUGUAGCGGUGAAAUGCGCAGAUAUCAGGAGGAACACCGGUGGCGAAGGCGGGUCUCUGGGCCGAUACUGACGCUGAGGAGCGAAAGCGUGGGGAGCGAACAGG